rnacentral:rRNA from 1 species
UUCCGGUUGAUCCUGCCGGAGGCCAUUGCUAUCGGAGUCCGAUUUAGCCAUGCUAGUCGAGCGAGGUUAGCCCUCGCGGCGAACAGCUCAGUAACACGUGGCCAAGCUACCCUGCAGAGGGGGACAGCGUCGGGAAACUGACGGGAAUCCCCCAUACCGGUCUCACGCUGGAAUGCCGAGACCGACAAACGCUCCGGCGCUGCAGGAUGCGGCUGCGGCCGAUUAGGUUGUCGGUGGGGUAACGGCCCACCGAGCCGAUAAUUGGUACGGGGUGUGAGAGCACGAGCCCGGAGACGGAAUCUGAGACAAGAUUCCGGGCCCUACGGGGCGCAGCAGGCGCGAAACCUUUACACUGCACGAACGUGCGAUAAGGGGACUCCGAGUGCGAGGGCAUACAGUCCUCGCUAUUGUGUACCGUAGGGUGGUACACGACCAACAGCUGGGCAAGACCGGUGCCAGCCGCCGCGGUAAUACCGGCAGCUCGAGUGAUGGCCGAUUUUAUUGGGCCUAAAGCGUCCGUAGCUGGCCCUGCAAGUCCGUCGGGAAAUC